rnacentral:sRNA from 1 species
AAUGAGUGAAUUAAUAGACAGAAUGAGUUUUGAGGUUUUUUUAAAUGAAAAAAUUGAUAUAUAAUUUAUAUACUAUAAAAUUCAAAUUGUAUGUGUGUGUGUGUGUGUGUGUGUGUGUGUGUGUGGUACUGGGAUUUGAACCCAAAGCCUACUAUAUACUAGACAAGUGUCCUACCAUUGACCUACAUCCAACCCUUUCCUUA